CGCGUAGGUGGUUCUGUAUGUCUACCGUGAAAGCGUACGGCUCAACCGUAUUUUGUCGGUAGAAACUGCAGGACUUGAGGCUGGGAGGGGGCGUGGUGGAAUUCCCUGUGUAGCGGUGAAAUGCGUAGAGAUGGGGGAGAACACUCGUGGCGAAGGCGGCCAGCUAGACCAGUUCUGACACUGAGGCGCGACAGCGUGGGGAGCAAACA
rnacentral:rRNA from 1 species